GACGAACGCUGGCGGCGUGCUUAACACAUGCAAGUCGAACGGAAAGGCCCUGCUUUUGUGGGGUGCUCGAGUGGCGAACGGGUGAGUAACACGCGAGUAACCUGCCCUUGACUUUGGGAUAACUUCAGGAAACUGGGGCUAAUACCGGAUAGGAGCUCCUGCUGCAUGGUGGGGGUUGGAAAGUUUCGGCGGUUGGGGAUGGACUCGCGGCUUAUCAGCUUGUUGGUGGGGUAGUGGCUUACCAAGGCUUUGACGGGUAGCCGGCAUGAGAGGGUGACCGGCCACAUUGGGACUGAGAUACGGCCCAGACUCCUACGGGAGGCAGCAGUGGGGAAUAUUGCACAAUGGGAGGAAGCCGGAUGCAGCAACGCCGCGUGCGGGAUGACGGCCUUCGGGUUGUAAACCGCUUUCGCCUGUGACGAAGCGUGAGUGACGGUAAUGGGUAAAGAAGCACCGGCUAACUACGUG
rnacentral:rRNA from 1 species